rnacentral:lncRNA from 1 species
GUUACUCCUUCCCUCGCUUUUAUUCUCUUCAUUCUCUCUCUCUCUCUCUCUCUCUCUCUCUUCAUACCCAACUACGUUUUCUCUUCUAUCUCCAACUACUUCCAUUAUCAACCACCCCUUCUUCUUUCUUUUCCUUCAAAUACACCACGCUAUCAUACCUCCACCACCCUUUUCUCUCCCUCUCUAUGCAACUCCCUCAGGUUUUAUUCAUUCUUUUAUCUAUCAAAUUUCCCAUUUUUCUGUUGUUUUUCAUUAUCAUUUCGUAUGUUCCUUUUAUUUUUGUAAUUUUCAUUUCAUGGGUAUUUGGAUUUGGGUCUAAAUUCUGUGCAGGGUUGAUUGCUUUUUGUGAAAAUUGAUGUUUUUAAUAAUGGAUCGAGUAGAUCUUGUGGGUUUUUCAUGUGGAAAUUGUACUUGAUUUCAGUUUGUUGAUGUGUUUCUAGAAAAUUAUGUGGAUCUCUCUAGUUAGAGGUGAAAGGUUUUGUUACUUUUAAGUGAUCGGAAGAAAAAUGAUGUCUUGUCUCAUUUGUUAUCACAAGAAUCAACAAAUCUACCUCAUUGGAGAUAAAUAAUUGGGGUGAUAUUUGGUGGGUGGUGGUAUUGAAAAUCAUUGAAGGACUUCAAACUUCAAUUUCAACUGAUUCUUAAUCACUUUUAAUAUUCAUUGUUACUUGGGUGUGGUACCUCACUUGCAUAUUUGGUUAAAGCAGGACGAUUUUCUGCUUGCUUUAAAUGAAUUUUUAGUUAGGGCUGAUAAAGAUUAAAAUGUGCAAGGCUAGAUGUAUGCACUUCCUGCACUUUUCGUUCCACAACAGAUUUGAGGGUAUACACUUGAUAAAGUGAUUAUUGUUUAUGCAUAUAGUCAAUAUGAUUCAGUUGUGCUAUUGUUUUUUAAUAAAUAAAAACUUCCAUGCAUCAUGAGAAUAAAGAAAUGAAUCACUUGCAAAAGAAAGUUAUCAAACCUGUUUAAUAUGACUAAAACUUUGGAAUUAGUUGUUAAUCUUUUGGUUCACAUGAUUGUGUUUAUGUAUGAAUCUCUUAAUCUUGAGUUAGCUAGAUUUAAAGGGAAUUUCCUUUGUACUAGAUAUUUUUAUUCCCUUAAUUCUGCUUUUGCAUGUUCAUUGCUGGCUUGUCUAUUCUUACGCUAUAAAUGAAGCGUAGCUCUUUGUCUUUGUGCGAACUUUCAGUUCGAAUGAUUUGCAGUGUUUUUGCUUGUAACUGCAGUUCGGAAGGGGGGUACUUGAACAAGAGUGUAGCUGCAGGGUGUACAUCUAUUAAUAGUAUUGUAGACCUGUUGGCUUUUUCGGUAUGGGCAAGGAGUGCAAGUGUUGUGGAAAGUUAGGGAAAAUGGGGCCAAGA